AGAUGGGGCACUAGCUGAUAAUCAGCUAAAAAAUAGGACUGGCAGACUUUACUGAAGGCUGAUGAGGCAGGGCGAUGGUGGGUUGUAGGAUCUGCCUGGGAAGGUCAUAGGCAAGCUUUGCUGAUGCAAGUGCCCCAAGACAAGUCUGCACCAGCUGCUCCCUCAUUUGGUGGAUCUGUUAGUCAGAAACUUGUGGACCUAGCAAGGAAGCUGCACAUGAACUCUGAUGUCCGCCGUUCCAUCUUCUUCGUUCUUAUGACCAGUGAGGACUUCCAGGAUCUUUCAGAAGGUUUUUGCUGCUAGGAAUUAAAAGCCAUCAGGAGCGCGAGAUCGUUGUUGUCGCUGUGAGUGUUGCAAGGCCGAAACCCAGUAGCACCCCUUACUAUAGCUACUUCUGGCAGAC